rnacentral:rRNA from 1 species
AUUGAACGCUGGCGGCAGGCCUAACACAUGCAAGUCGAGCGGAUGAAGGGAGCUUGCUCCUGGAUUCAGCGGCGGACGGGUGAGUAAUGCCUAGGAAUCUGCCUGGUAGUGGGGGAUAACGUCCGGAAACGGGCGCUAAUACCGCAUACGUCCUGAGGGAGAAAGUGGGGGAUCUUCGGACCUCACGCUAUCAGAUGAGCCUAGGUCGGAUUAGCUAGUUGGUGGGGUAAAGGCCUACCAAGGCGACGAUCCGUAACUGGUCUGAGAGGAUGAUCAGUCACACUGGAACUGAGACACGGUCCAGACUCCUACGGGAGGCAGCAGUGGGGAAUAUUGGACAAUGGGCGAAAGCCUGAUCCAGCCAUGCCGCGUGUGUGAAGAAGGUCUUCGGAUUGUAAAGCACUUUAAGUUGGGAGGAAGGGCAGUAAGUUAAUACCUUGCUGUUUUGACGUUACCAACAGAAUAAGCACCGGCUAACCUCGU